rnacentral:tRNA from 1 species
GAUCGAGUGGCAGAGUGGUUUAUGCAGUAGCCUGCAAAGCUAUGUACACUGGUUCGACUCCAGUCUUGGUCU